UACAACUUUCUCAUGUGCUGGAUCCUUCCUGCCCUCGAAUAUUGGAAUCCAAGUUCUUCAGUUUUGGGACUCGCACUGGCUCUUCUUGCUCCUCAGCUUGCAGACAGCCUAUUGUGGGACCUUGUGAUCGUGUUUCGUGCAACGGAUACAAGCAAUGAAAUUUCAACAGAAAUUUCCUGGGGUAGGAUGCAGAGUUCUUAGGAAAUCUUCUGUUUUCUUAUAAAAGUAAGAGCCUGAAGUAGGUGAUGAUUCUUAUCACAUUUUACUGCUUUGAAAUAGAAAAUAAAGCCUGAAGAUUCAGUGGGAAAUUUUUCAACCAUGAAAUGAUAGACAAUCUGCUAAGUAAAAUAAUCACAAAAGAAAGGAGGAGACCGUAUUGUUAAACCAUUGAAGUCCUGGGCUGCUAUCUCUUGAUUUCUUGGUGUUUGAGGAAAUAAAUACCUCUGUUAAAUUCAGUUUAUGUUUACUUUUUGUGUAUGUUUUUGCCUUCAAACACAUUUUUAAAGUAUUCAAGAGUGUAUGAGGGCUAAAGCUCUAUGAAUCAUCCUGAAAUCUUAAGGUUUGCAUUCAUGAAUAUUAUUUGAGGAUGUGUGGUAUGGUUUGGAUUUGUGUUCCUGCUCAAAUCUCAUGUUAAAUUGUAAUCCCCAUUGUUGGAGGAGGGACCUGGUGGGAGGUGAUUGGAUCAUGGGGGCCAACUUCCCCUUGCUAAUCUCAUGAUAGUGAGUGAGUUCUCAUGAGAUCUGGUUGUUUAAAAGUGUGUAGCACCAACCCAGCACUUUGGGAAGCUGAGGCGGGCAGAUCACGAGGUCAGGAGAUCGAGACAUCUUGGCUAACACGGUGAAAACCUGUCUCUACUAAAACUAC
rnacentral:lncRNA from 1 species